GAGACAGCAGCAGCCGCGGUAAUACGGAGGGUGCAAGCGUUAAUCGGAAUUACUGGGCGUAAAGCGCACGCAGGCGGUCUGACAAGUCAGAUGUGAAAUCCCCGGGCUUAACCUGGGAACUGCAUUUGAAACUGUCAGGCUGGAGUCUUGUAGAGGGGGGUAGAAUUCCAGGUGUAGCGGUGAAAUGCGUAGAGAUCUGGAGGAAUACCGGUGGCGAAGGCGGCCCCCUGGACAAAGACUGACGCUCAGGUGCGAAAGCGUGGGGAGCAAACAGGAUUAGAUACCCGAGUAGUCCCUGUCUCUUAUAC
rnacentral:rRNA from 1 species